rnacentral:rRNA from 1 species
UAAACUUUCUAAAACCCUUACACAUGCAAGUCGAGGGGGUAACGAUGUAGCUUGCUACAGGCGACGACCGGCGCACGGGUGCGUAACGCGUAUGCAACCUGCCUAUUACAGAGGGAUAGCCCAUGGAAACGUGGAUUAAUACCUCAUAAUAAUUUUUAUAGCAUUAUAAAAAUUUGAAAACUCAGGUGGUAAUAGAUGGGCAUGCGUGACAUUAGCUAGUUGGUGAGGUAAGGGCUCACCAAGGCGACGAUGUCUAGGGGUUCUUAAAGGAAGGUCCCCCACACUGGUACUGAGACACGGACCAGACUCCUACGGGAGGCAGCAGUGAGGAAUAUUGGUCAAUGGGCGCAAGCCUGAACCAGCCACUCCGCGUGAAGGAUUACAGCCCUAUGGGUUUUAAACUUCUUUUAUAUGGGAAGAAUUGUAGUUACAUGUAAUUACUUGCCGGUACCAUAUGAAUAAGCAUCGGCUAACUCCGUGCCAGCAGCCGCGGUAAUACGGAGGAUGCAAGCGUUAUCCGGAUUUAUUAGGUUUAAAGGGUGCGUAGGCUGUUGUACAAGUCAGUGGUGAAAUCCUAUAGCUCAACUAUAGAAUUGCCUUUGAAACUGUAUGACUAGAAUUCAGGAGAGGUAGGCGGAAUGUGUAGUGUAGCGGUGAAAUGCAUAGAUAUUACACAGAACACCAAUUUGCGAAGGCAGCUUGCUAAACUGCGAUUGACGCUGAUGCACGAAAGCGUGGGGUAGCGAACAGGAUUAGAUACCCUGGUAGU